CGUGCGUCUAUAACUUUGUGUUGCUUGCUGCUGCUGGUGGUUAGGAGAAGGAAUGUGGAAGUCAGUAGAGUGCAGGGUGACAGGCUGGUCGGGCGAGCUGCACCAGCAGCAUUAUUGCUCCCUGGCAGAUCAUUUGCUUUUCCCCUUCUGUUUACAGAGGUAUCGUGCGGUUGUUUGCUUUCUCCUCCUUUGCCUUUAAAGGGAAGGCGACGAGAAGCUGAAGACGCAGCAGCAGGAGAAUCAGGAAACCAUGCACCAGCACUGCUUUUUCCUCCUGUGAAUCUGGAUCUUUAUUUUUGCUGGAGAGGGUAGAGGUUGCUGCUGGUUCUUCCCCUUCCCUCCUUCCCCUGCCGAUGUGUCUUCCUCUGUCUCUUUUGCCAGUGUUUUUUAAAUGACUUGAGCGGAGGGGGGGGGGAACUGUCAAGAUGGCAGCAGCAGGAGCAAGGAGGUUAUGAAUGUGGUGUUGAUGCUGGAACAAAACCCAUCCUCUUGGCAGCCCUACGGAGGGCUUAAAGCUUCUGGACCUGUUGGAAGACUGGUGAUUUGAUUUGUUUUUGUUUUGCUUUCCUCGCAAGAAGGGUAAAAAAUCCAGAGUGGCUUUUUCUUCCCCUGUUCGAUUGGUUGUGAAAUUUAGUUUUGUAUAUAUAGAUCUAUAUAUUUUUUGGAAAGUGGAAUGCAUAACUACGGCAAAUGCUAGUGUGCAACUGGAGGUACAUUAAGACUUCAGCUCCCUCUGGGGCGUUUUGAAGGAGGAAAAAGUCAUCAAUGUAAUUUGAAGGACCCCUCUCUCUUUCCCCCGGACAGAGAGAGAAAAAGGAAAACGUCUGCCAGAGCAGCCGGGAGCAGGCUUGGUGGUGUUGGAGGGGUCUCUCUCCGAUGGAUACAGCGUGAUUGCCAGUGGAGCGCUUCUGCAGCUGCAUGGAGUGAAACAUAAACAAACACACACCACUGAACUGCACCAACUCCACUGCGUUUGGGCUGCUGCUGGCGCCAUCCCCCCACCCAUCGGGAUCCAGGGGCGCAUCUGGAACCUCUGGCCUCGCCUGAUCCCUUAUUGAUCGCCUUGUGAUUAGUAGUAGUUGAGUGUGUGUGUGUGCGCGCGUGUGUGUGUGUGUGUGCACUGUCUGCUGGGAGAGGGGGCGGGGAAGGCAGGAGGCUGCAGGACUUUAAUGGAGAGUGGCAUGUUCACUCGCUCCCCCCUGCCUGGUAGGCACUGAUCCGCAGCGGCAGGAGGAGGACUGGGGUCCGGACCCGUCUGUCCCAUCGCAGCACCAGGAGCAGCAGCAGCGGGAGGAGGGGAAGCCAAGAUGGCAGAGGCGUCUCCCGCUGCCCCCCUCUCCCCUCAGGACGUGGAGCUGGACCCCGAGUUCGAGCCCCAGAGCCGGCCCCGCUCCUGCACUUGGCCCCUACAGAGGCCUGAGUUGCAGGCGAGCCCGGCCAAGCCCUCGGGGGAAGCGGCCGCGGACGCCGCCUCCAUGAUCCCCGAGGAGGAGGACGAGGAGGAAGGGGGCAGCUCGCCCAUGGCCAUCGGCAGUGGCGGCGGAGGCGACGCGCUGGCCCCGGAGGAGGCGGCCCGGCUGCUGGCCCCGCUGCCCGGCGUCGGGACGGAGGGCUCGGGCCAGGCCCCCGGGGCAGCGGCCGGCGGGGGCGGCGGGCUGGGCGGGGGGCAGCCGGCGGCGGCGCCGCGGAAAUGCUCGUCCCGGCGGAACGCGUGGGGCAACCUGUCCUACGCCGACCUGAUCACCCGCGCCAUCGAGAGCGCCCCGGACAAGCGGCUCACCCUGUCCCAGAUCUACGACUGGAUGGUGCGCUGCGUGCCCUACUUCAAGGAUAAGGGCGAUAGCAACAGCUCGGCCGGCUGGAAGAACUCAAUCCGGCAUAAUUUGUCACUUCACAGUCGAUUCAUCAGGGUACAGAAUGAAGGAACUGGGAAAAGCUCUUGGUGGAUGAUUAAUCCAGAUGGUGGAAAAGGUGGGAAGCCCCCCCGGAGACGCGCUGUUUCAAUGGACAAUAGCAACAAGUACACAAAGAGCAGAGGCCGAGCAGCUAAGAAAAAGGCAGCCCUGCAAGCUGCACAAGAAGCUAGCGAGGACAGCCCGUCUCAGCUUUCCAAGUGGCCAGGGAGCCCAACUUCCCGCAGCAGUGAUGAGCUGGACGCUUGGACAGAUUUCCGCUCUCGUACAAAUUCAAAUGCCAGUACAAUAAGUGGCCGUUUGUCACCGAUAUUGGCAAGUACCGAACUCGAUGACGUUCAGGAUGAUGAUGCUCCACUUUCUCCAAUGCUGUACAAUAGUCCAUCAAGCAUGUCCCCAUCGGUAAAUAAACCAUGUACUGUUGAGUUGCCGAGGUUGACUGAUAUGGCAGGCACAAUGAACUUGAAUGAUGGACUGACAGAUAACCUCAUCAUGGAUGAUCUUUUGGACAAUAUAACGCUCCCCUCUCCCCAACAGUCACCAUCAGGGGGGCUCAUGCAAAGAAGCUCCAGUUUUCCAUAUGGUUCCAAAGGUUCCGGACUUGGCUCUCCAUCAAGUAAUUUCAACAGUGCUGUGUUUGGACCAUCAUCUCUGAAUUCCCUUCGUCAGUCUCCCAUGCAAACCAUUCAAGAGAACAAGCAAGCUACCUUUUCUUCCAUUUCUCAUUAUAACAACCAGACGCUGCAGGAUCUGCUGGCAUCUGACUCACUUAGUCACAGUGAUGUCAUGAUGACGCAGUCUGAUCCACUCAUGUCUCAAGCCAGCACAGCUGUGUCUGCCCAGAAUUCACGCAGGAGUAUCAUGCUUCGUAGUGAUCCAAUGAUGUCAUUUGCUGCUCAGUCCAACCAGGGAAGUUUGGUCAAUCAGAACCUGCUCCACCACCAGCAUCAAUCUCAGAAUUCUUCUCUUGGUGGCAGUCGUGCCUUGUCAAAUUCCAUAAGUAAUAUGGGCUUAAAUGAUACGAACAACUUGGGGUCGGCCAAACACCAGCAGCAGUCACCUGUCAAUCAGUCUAUGCAAACACUUUCUGACUCGCUCUCAGGCUCUUCUUUGUAUUCCACUAGUGUCAACCUUCCAGUCAUGGGACAUGAUAAAUUCCCAAGUGAUUUGGACCUGGAUAUUUUCAAUGGAAGCUUGGAAUGUGACAUGGAGUCCAUUAUCCGCAGUGAACUCAUGGAUGCAGAUGGGUUGGAUUUUAACUUCGAUUCCCUCAUCUCAGCUCAGAACGUUGUCAGUCUGAACGUGGGGAGCUUCACAGGUGCUAAGCAGGCUUCGUCACAGAGUUGGGUGCCAGGCUGAAGGAUCUUUCAGAAAAGGAGAAAUGGGCAAAGCAGCAUCGUGCCCUGCAACUGCAGAAUGCCGGUAGUGCUAAACAUGCAAGUUGAAAUCCUGACCCAAGUCAAUGGCAAAAGUCUCACUGAGUUCAGUGGUGCCAGGAUUUCACCCACGGUUGAUACCACUACUCUCCCCCUGUGUAGGUCUGUGGGGAAAGUCAGAGUUCUGCCCAUUGAACGGUUACACAACACUGUGGGAAAAAGUCCAGUGGCCCUUUUCGUUAUUGUGGACUUCUUUGUGCAGAGGGCCAAAAUCAGAGCUAUCAUUAGCAAAGCUGCUACAUCUGCUUACACUGGUUCUGAAUUUAGUGCAGGCCCUUAAACUGACAUGAGACCUAAAGAGAGAACCCUUUGCCAAAUCUGCUGUCAGCAAGUGGACAGUGAUACCGUUUACAGCUUAUGAUCUUUGUGAGCCCUGCAUUACUUUCCUAAUGAAGCAGAGACUGUUAAUGGCCCCUUACCCAAGCGAAGAGCCUCCUUUUUCGGAAUUGAACUCGUUCUAAAGUAUGCAAAAUCUUCCUUUUAUGGGAUGGUCAAGCACCAACUGUGGAGACAAUGUUCAGCACCAUCCUGUUGAGAACACACUGUGUAGCCUUUACAGUAGUUAUUUGUCAAUGAGUAUGUGGUGUUUCAAUAUAUUAAUGGUUUAUGGGUUAUUUUACGUUGGCUUCUAUUUUGGGGGGGGUUCCCAUCUCACCCCUCUAACCUUCAGUUUGUUUUGUUUUUUAAAGAUGUUUUAACCAUUUUCUCUUUCUCUCCUGGUGCAUCUGAAAUACAGUGUGUGCACAAUGAAAGGCUAUACUAAUUACCAUUACCCAACAUAGCUUCAGACAUCAGCACUGAGUAUGUAGCAUUCAUUACACCAAGCAACUGACUGAAGUCCAGAGAGAGGUGGCUUGUGGGUUUUGUUUGUUGUCUUUUUUUUCAAACCUUUUCUUCAAUUUAAUGGUACAUACCUUGUUUUUCAUAAACAGCAAACCACAGCUGAUUACAUAAUAAGAGAAACUAGCAAGGUUGCUAGUCCUGUCCAGUGUUUGUAAGGACUGAGAGAGGGUUCCAUUUCAUCGUAUUUACUGAUUCAGCACCUGAUUUGAUUUGAUCUGAUCAAUCUCACCUAUUGCAUUAUGUUAGCAGAGCUGCCCUGAUGAUUGCAGUGAAUAGAAUUAGUCUGCCUCAGCAGUUUGGAAACUGGUUGAUCUUAAAACAAGUAAUAAGAUAAGCUGUCCAUCCAUUACCAAACAAGUUGAAUGUAACCACUUGUGAGGAUAUGGUUUAAAAAGAAGAGGGAAGUAAAAUAUAUGACAUUGCAGAAAAGAUAACUUACAGUACAUGCAUCAACAGUGACUUACAGUAGAGUCAUCAGAAGUUCAAAUGCAGAUCACUGCAGGGUAAAUUACUACAUCAGUGAUUUUUUUACAUACAUAUCCUUGAUAAUUUUUUCCUUCUCACUAUGCGUAAUCCAAUCUGAAAGAAGCUGUAGAAGGAAAGGCAAGAAAGUAAUGCUAUACAAACAUCUUUUCAUAUAAGCUUAAAUUGUAAUUGGAUAAAUGACACUGAAAGACAAGGCAGUUUUAUAUGUUUUGCUUAUAUGGGUUUUCUUUUGUAAAAUGAAUAACAAUGAAUGAAUAAUAAUGAAUAAAAGGUAUGGUGCUGCUGUAUAGAUUCUCUCUAUAAUCUGGAAAGCUUGAUUACUUUUUAUUACUAUUUUUUUGUGGGGGGAGGAAACAAGAGGAGGAAACACCAAUGGUACAUAAGAACUUGGUAUGAAGACGCUCUGAAUAGGAGAGUGUAUACAUACUUCUCCAAAGUGAUAUAUGAAGACUUUUUUCUUUGCAUAAAAGCAUUAUGCAUAUAAAUAUAUAAAUAUAUUUUAUUAUGUACAGAAAUGGAUCAUUAUGCAUGGAUGUUACGAAAACAAACUAGCAUUUUAACCCAAAGUUUCAGUGCAUGAGUUCCCACUGACACAUGUACCAUGCAAUGUGGAGUGACUCCCUUUCUCUGCCACCACCACACAUGCACGCAUACACACACACAAACUCAUACACAUACAUUUGUGGGCCCCAUCUUGCUCCUUACUUUCCAGUUUCCUGAAGUAAUAUUGGUGAAAUAACAGCUCCUAGUGUGAUGGAAAUUUUGUUUUGUAUUGUAACCUCCUCAUGCUUGUGCUCUUCUAUUUUAUAGAUGAACCUGUUGAUUUCAUCCUGCCCUUUACUGAAUAUGUAAACUCUGUGCAGUUGUGAUUAUAGUAGACCCGUAGCAUAUCAAGCAGCUAAGAGUUUAUCAUUUUCAUUAAGUGAAACAACAUUUUUUUAAUUAAGGUGGUCUAUUUAUCAAUGGCAGGGACUAGUUUAUUAUUUUUUCUUUAUCAUCAGAAUUAGUUGAUGAUGCACAUUACUGAUCUCCCCAGUUGAGGCGAUAUUUCGGGUAACCAGCUACCCAGUAUGACAGUGGUGUACAGCAGUCAUCUGUUUUAGGGGUCAGUUCACUUACAGGAGUCCAGAUGCAGGCACCUUUUACCAAAGUUAGUAAAGAGCUUUACUGCAAGCCUUCACUGUACUCGGUGUGUAUAACAGUAUCUGUCAGGUUUUUGGUACAUCAUUAAAUGUGAAUUAAACUGAGGGUGUUUUUCUUUCUUUGUCUUCUGUGGUAUUGUGCUUGCUAAUUGAAACUUUUUAAUCUUAAAGUCUCACUCUCUGAUUAAUAGGAGGGCUGUGCACAAGUACUCUGGUACAAAACAGGCUUUGUGUUUAUUUCUGGUGUGACAUUUUGUUGAACUAUCUAUUGUCCACUGGAGGAUGGAAUACAUCGUAGCACUGUCAUAGAGCAAGCAGCAGAUUCUCCCUUUCACGCGGUCUAAUUUAAGGCAGGUUACAAAUACAUAGGUAGUACAGGAUUCUGGUACUGUAUCUACCUACCAUAUAUAUCUACUGACUGCACCUUUUUUAUUUGGAUUUCUUGGAGAAAUAUUGGACCAACCUGUCUGCUCAUGUAACUUAAAUGGCAUAGUGCCAACAGAAAUUUGGCCCACUUUAUAGAGUAGAAUAACAAAACAUAUUGGGCCAAAUUCUGCUCUCAGUUACGAUGAUGUAAAUCUGGAAUAACUGAUGGUAGUGAGUUACUCCAGAUUUACAGUACUGUCUCUCCCUGAUGCACAACCCGAGCACCCAGUCUCUGCUCUAGGGAUCUUCUUGGGAGCAGGAACAAGGAAUCCUCCUCUCCAGGCCACUCCAUAGCUGGUACUCCAGCAUCAGAGCAGGAAUAGCCUUAGCACUGCCUUGCCUGUGUGCCCCUCCGCAGCGGGAAAUGGCCAUCAGAUCCAUGUAGCAGCAGAUCCACCAACUGUGCCCCAUUCCCAAAUCCCUUCUGGGCAGUACAUACUGAGGUGAGCUCCAUGUCUUCAGAUAUUCAACUCCUGCAGGCUCACACUGCAGCAGAACUGCCCCUUUUCUUCCACUACAGGCAGAACCUGCUUGUACCCAUUUUGGAGGACAGGAUUUAUGCCAGUGACCAGGAUUUGCCCCAUCGUUCACAGUUGCACACAAGGAGAUAUGGCCCAAUGCUGCAGUCUUUAAUCAGAUGAAAUCUCCCAUUAAAUGGGCUUGCCUGCAUAAGGACUGCCGAUCGUGUUGUUAGAGUCCUUUGUUAACACCGACAAAGUUCUGUUUUGACGUCAUGACUACGGCGACAAAGACGAGUAAUUUUAUUUUUUCUUGGUACGGAACUAAUAUGUCUAAUGGAAGGGAAAGACUGCUUGUUUGAACAAACUGGGCUAAACUUUGUUACUGCAGUGUUAAUGCAGCGUGACUCCCAUGAGAUCAGUGGAGUUACGUCAGAUUUGCAAAAUAUGGUCCACUUUUUUUUAGAAAAUGAAGAAAUACCAGUUGGUUCAGAGACAUCCAAUCAAUGUCAGAGAAGUUAUAGAACCUUUCAAACAAAAUCAAAAUCAAAGCACAAGCAAAUAAGGGGCCCAAUCCUGCUCCCACUGAAGUUAAUGAGAAAACUCUCAUUGGCUUCCACAGUGCAGUUUUGGCCUCCUAGUGUUAGGGGAAAAAGCCUGCACUACCUGGGGAGGGAUGGACUAGAAAAACGAAGAGGUUUUUUCUCUCUCUAAUUUUGGCGGCCAACAUUUUCAAACGUAAAUAUGUGAAGUUAAGCACCUUCGGCUGGAAUUUUCAGAGGCAUAAGGGAGUUAGGUGCUCUGCUUUCAUUGUUUUUCAGUGGGAGUAGGGUGCCUCAUUCCUUGAGAUCCCUUGGAAAAUCCCAGGCCUAAAUGUAUAUUUAGGCACAUAAAAAGGGCCCCAAUUUUCAGAGGUGCAGAAUAGUCACAUCUUUUAGAGAAUCCAACGACAGCCACGGGGACUGAGCACCUUUGCAAAUCAGAUCACUUAUUUAGGUGCCAAAGUAUGGAUUCAGGAACCCCAUUUUUGAAACUUUGGCCUUUGUUCCAGGAAUAUUUUCGAGCAUUAACACCCCUCCUCCCCCCAAAAAAAUCGUGCCCAACAGAUAAAGUCUCAGAACACAUGCACAGGUUAUUGUUUAAAUUUUGAGUUUUAAAACAUUCUAAAAAGGGUAGUGCUUAUGCAGUUUAGACAAGUCUGCUUUUAUUUAAUUUUCUUUGUGAAAUAUCUUCUCAUAUGAAUAGCUAGUUAAUAGGCCACUACCUAACUCCAGAAAAAUUUGUACUACUGCUUUACAAAGCUAAAUGUUAGGACAUAUAUUGCUCUAAAAUUAUGUCAUUGAUUGGCAAUCAGUUUCCUAUCAUUGUUUUAGUACAUUAUGUACACUGGAAAUGCCAACACAUGUGCAGGAGGACCAGAUGCAUUUUGUUAAUAUGGGGAGGGGGAAUGAUUGUACGUUUUGGCUUCACAUGUUAAACUUUUUUUAAAAAAAAAAGUUGCAUGAUUGGAAAAUAACAUGUAUACAGUAUCUGUACAACUGUUUUAUCUGUUUUUGUUUCACCAUGUCAAGCCAUAUAAAUUGGAAAAAUAUUAAAUCCGCAGCCUUUAUGCAUGGCUGUCUUUACAUAUUGAAGAAUUAAUUUGGGCUUUCUUGCACUUUCAUGUUGCAUUCUUACUGAGGAUUUUGUAAAUUAGUUGCUGCCCUGGAUGAGUAUACUACCUUACUACAUAAAGAUUGGAAACACGUUUGAUUUUAAAAUCUUCCCCUUUCCAAAUGAAGUAGAGAUGCAGUGCUUACUCCACUUGGUGUUAGUAGAUAUUGCCUUGUGUAUUCCAUUUUCAAUUGUAAUCUAGUUUGUAAAAGAGAUGGUGCCGCAUGUAAAUAAAGCAUAAUGGAUCUCUA